GCUAGUAAUCGCGGAUCAGAAUGCCGCGGUGAAUGCGUUCCCGGGUCUUGUACACACCGCCCGUCACACCACGGAAGUUGGGGUGCCCAAAGUUGGCAGGAUAAUAUGUUACCUAAGGCAAAACCGAUGACUGGGGUGAAGUCGUAACAAGGUAUC
rnacentral:rRNA from 1 species